UACGGAGGGUGCGAGCGUUAUCCGGAAUCACUGGGUUUAAAGGGUGCGUAGGCGGUCUGAUAAGUCAGUUGUGAAAUUCCCCGGCUUAACCGGGUGGACUGCGAUUGAUACUGUUGGACUUGAAUCAGGUUGAGGUAGGCGGAAUGUGACAUGUAGCGGUGAAAUGCUUAGAUAUGUCAUAGAACACCGAUUGCGAAGGCAGCUUGCUAGACCUUCGAUUGACGCUGAGGCACGAAAGCGUGGGGAGCAAACAGG
rnacentral:rRNA from 1 species